CCUACGGGGAGCAGCAGUGGGGAAUAUUGCACAAUGGGGGAAACCCUGAUGCAGCGACGCCGCGUGAGUGAGGAAGUAUUUCGGUAUGUAAAGCUCUAUCAGCAGGGAAGAAAAUGACGGUACCUGACUAAGAAGCCCGGCUAACUACGUGCCAGCAGCCGCGGUAAUACGUAGGGGGCAAGCGUUAUCCGGAUUUACUGGGUGUAAAGGGAGCGUAGACGGUUAAUCAAGUCAGAAGUGAAAACCCAGGGCUCAACCUUGGGACUGCUUUUGAAACUGAGUAGCUAGAGUGCAGGAGAGGUAAGCGGAAUUCCUGGUGUAGCGGUGAAAUGCUUAGAUAUCAGGAGGAACAUCGGUGGCGUAAGCGCUUUACUGGGCCGUAAUUGACGCUGAGGAACGAAAGCCAGGGUAGCAAAUGGGAUUAGAUACCCCGGUAGUC
rnacentral:rRNA from 1 species